rnacentral:hammerhead_ribozyme from 1 species
AUCCAGAUGACGAGUUUCAAAUAGAACGAAAUGCGCAUCCUGGAU